ACGUAGGGUGCGAGCGUUAAUCGGAAUUACUGGGCGUAAAGCGUGCGCAGGCGGUUUGUUAAGACAGGUGUGAAAUCCCCGGGCUUAACCUGGGAAUGGCGCUUGUAACUGGCAAGCUAGAGUGUGUCAGAGGGAGGUAGAAUUCCACGUGUAGCAGUGAAAUGCGUAGAGAUGUGGAGGAAUACCGAUGGCGAAGGCAGCCUCCUGGGAUAACACUGACGCUCAUGCACGAAAGCGUGGGGAACAAACAGGA
rnacentral:rRNA from 1 species